GUUAAAAAGUUAAAAUUCCCAAAACAAACUCACAUACCAAGCCCUAACCUCUAAACUUCCCAGCGCGCCUCUCAAGUCUCACCACCGACUACAGCCUUUUCUCUCACUACCAACCACCGGCCACACCUUUGCUCUCACCACUGCCUAUCCUAUCGGUUUCUUUGGAGCACUCUUCUCUCUUCUCCUUUGAAGGAGCAAAGAUGCCAUCAGUGGUGGAAUCCCAACAACCCAACGGCAACAUCUCUUUUAAGCACAACCGAAAUAAUAACAACAAACCCAAUUUCUUUGCCGGGAGACAAAAGAUUUUAGAGCAUCGGAAGUCGCUUCCUAUUGCUUCAGUUGAGAGAAGACUUGUUGAGGUGGUUCAAGAAAAUGAUGUCUUAAUCAUUGUUGGAGAAACUGGAAGUGGGAAAACAACCCAGAUACCUCAGUAUUUAUUUGAUUCUGGGUUCUGCCAUGAUGGGAAAACUAUUGGGGUAACGCAGCCGAGGCGUGUUGCUGCGGUCACAGUUGCAAAAAGGGUAGCCGAAGAAUGUGGUGUUGAGUUGGGACAAAAAGUUGGGUAUUCAAUUAGGUUUGAGGAUGUCACCUCAAGCUCAACGAGGAUCAAGUACAUGACUGAUGGAUUACUUCUUAGGGAGGCAUUAUUGGAUCCGUAUCUCUCUAGGUAUUCAGUGAUAGUUGUUGAUGAAGCUCAUGAAAGAACUGUCCACACGGAUGUAUUGUUGGGUUUGCUUAAAAGGGUACAAAAUGUGAGGUCCAACCAUAUAAAAGAUCAAACUAGUGUUGGUCAUAAGAGGGCAAGCAAUGGUGCAAUCUUGGAGAAAGAAAAUGCUGAUCCCUGCAUUGGUGUUUUAAAGCAAUGCCAGGGGAGGAAUUUGUCACCUUUGAAAUUAAUCAUCAUGUCUGCCAGCUUGGAUGCACAUGUUUUCUCUAAAUACUUUGGUGGUGCAAAAGCUGUUCGUGUUCUAGGACGACAAUUUCCAGUUGAUUUAUUCUAUUCUGUCGAUCCCCAGACUGAUUAUCUAGAUUCUGCUAUUGUCACCAUCUUCCAGAUUCACUCGGAGGAGGCUCCUGGUGACAUUCUUGUGUUUUUGACUGGGCAAGAAGAGAUUGAAUCGGUUGAAAAACAAAUCCAUGAGAAUUUACAACGGUUACCUGAAGAUAAGCGGAAGAUGAAAACAGUUACUAUAUUCUCAUCCCUCCCUUCAGAACAACAAAUGCAAGUUUUUGCACCUGCUCCUGCAGGAUUUCGUAAGGUUAUACUAGCAACUAAUAUUGCUGAGACAUCCGUGACGAUACCUGGAAUUAAGUAUGUCGUAGAUCCUGGAGUUGUAAAAGCACGUUCUUAUGAUCCAGUCAAGGGGAUGGAAUCAUUGAUUAUUGUUCCAACCUCAAAAGCACAAGCAAUACAGAGAAGUGGACGUGCAGGGCGUGAAGGACCUGGGAAGUGUUUCCGUCUCUAUCCUGAGAGCGAGUUUGAAAAGCUUGAGGAUUCAACCAAGCCAGAGAUUAAGCGUUGCAACCUCUCGAAUGUCAUUUUGCAGCUCAAGGCCCUGGGUGUCGAUGAUAUAUUUGGGUUUGACUUCAUAGAGAAACCCUCAAGGACAGCUAUUAAAAAGUCAUUGGAGGAGUUGCUCUUGCUAGGUGCUUUAACUGAUGAAUUCAAACUGUCAGAUCCAGUUGGUCGUCAAAUGGCUCGGCUCCCAUUAGAUCCUGUUCAUUCUAAAGCUCUCAUCCUAGCUAGCCAGUUCAAGUGCCUGGAUGAAAUGUUAAUUGCUGUUGCAAUGCUUUCAGUAGAAUCUAUUUUUUAUGAGCCACGUGAGAAGUUGGAUGAGGCAAGAACUGCAAAGAAAUGCUUUGCAAGUUCCGAGGGAGACCAUCUCACUUUGAUUAAUGUUUAUCGAACGUCUAUUGAGUUAUUGGAGAAGAGAAAGUCCGAGGUUGGCAAAGAUAAGGCUGAAAAAGUUAUGAGAAAGUGGUGCAAGGAAAACUUUAUCAAUAGCCGUUCUUUGCGGCAUGCUCGUGACAUCCACAGUCAAAUCCGCCGACUUGUUGAACAAAUAGGCCUUCGCAUUUCUUCUUGUGGAGACGACACACUUCAGUUCCGCAGAUGCCUUGCUGCUGCUUUUUUCCUCAAUGCAGCUUUGAAGCAACCUGAUGGAACAUACAGGGCUUUGGCAAGUGGUGAGGUGGUACAGAUCCAUCCAACAUCUGUGUUAUUCCGAACAAAAGCGGACUGCAUUAUUUUCAACGAGUUUGUCAAAACUACUAAUAAGUACAUCCGCAAUAUAACUAUAAUCGAUGGCCUUUGGUUGACAGAGUUAGCCCCCCACUAUUACGCCAAGCAGGAGUAGCAGUUUUCAUAUGAGUACUAACUGGUAAUUUCCUUUUGACUAUUCUUUUCCUUUACCAAUUGAUUAUGUUGUUGAAGCUCUACAUCAAUGGCAUUUCACUUUUGCUUUGGAACUGGUUAAUUUGUACUGGAUUUUUCCAGGUAAGGGGCAGAGAAAAUAAAAGAAUGUGUUCAGUGAUAUCUGUAACGGAAUGGAUUAUUCCGAGUUGUACUGCCUUAAUGUAGAUCCGUUUGUUUGAUUUUUGUUUGUCUUGCAACAGCGAAAUAUAUUGAUUGUGGAUUUGCAUCCGCAAGUAGAUAUCUAUUGUUUGCCUUUGAGAUACGUGGGCGUGACGAAAUCAUUUCAACAAUGAAAUUCAAAAAGCAUAGCUCAGUACUUCUGGAAGGCUUCUCUCAGUUUGUAGGACUUCAAAUAUGGAAGUUGUUGGAGGCCCCUUGAACUUGAAGGGAAGGGCUCUCUCCAAUCUGUACACUUGGGAUGGAGUUAUUAAUCUUUGUAUGUCAUGUUAAUCCAAGUUACGUAUUCCAACACUGAUCCGUGAACAUGAAGGUAAGGUUUUCUCUAGGUCUUAACAGGGCUAAUUUUUUCAAGUGUAGUUUGUUUGUAAUGAUCUCUCUUUGGUUAGCUAGUUUCGCCAUUGUUGUUUCUUCAAGAAUACCUUGUAAAGGAUUAGAAUAUUGUUGAAACCUUAUAAGUAAAAGAAUAACUUAUAGCACAAGUUACACUGGGAAAAAGUUGGUUAAAGGGUAUAUGGUCCCAAUCAGGUCGGGUCAGGUUGGGUCGAAUUAGGUCUGAUCUUUCACAAAAGUGAUAUCAAAAGCUUGUUUCAUAUAUUUUUUAGCCCAAUUUUAGGGGGAUGUGGAAAGUAAUUGAUUUGAAUUUUUUAUUUGGUGUCUACUUUCAUCGCGUGCCAUUGAAGCAAUGACUUGUCUGUAGUUUGUUUUGUUAUUAAGAAAUUGUUUUUUGUAUUAAUAUUAUAUAUUUAUAAUGAAAUUAUUUCAUUAAAAAUAA